GGCACAGCCGGUCCCGGCUGCGGCUUCUGGCUGCGCGGCCUGCGCGCGCCUCCCGGGCGGAUUCCAGCCCUGAGCGCGACAGCGCGGCGGGGAGCAACGAGCCUCGGGUGGUUUAUCCCGCCGGAGAGGAAUGGCGAGAACCUGGAGUGUUGACUGGCAAAACAUUUGCAGACGCGGUUUUUCUGGCAAUUAAUUGGCUCCAUUAAAAAUUAGGUAGUUGGUAGGGACUUCCUCCUGAACUCUGGUGCCGAGCGCAUUUUGCUCGGUCUUUUCAGCCCUGUUUCCGCGUCUUCCUUCCCUGCCACCCGCAAAUUGCCAGCUUUCAUCCGUGGCUCUGAGUGCAAAAGAGCUGGGGAAAGCCUUAACCAGCAAUUUUCUUUUAAAUAAAACUUUGCUUUUUAUAGCA
rnacentral:sRNA from 1 species